rnacentral:tRNA from 1 species
AGUAGGAGUGCGGCUAUGAAUUUUUUGAGAUUGUUGUUAGUGGUUUUUUCUAUUU